rnacentral:rRNA from 1 species
UACGAAGGGGGCUAGCGUUGUUCGGAAUUACUGGGCGUAAAGCGCGCGCAGGCGGCUAUCCAAGUCAGUGGUGAAAGCCCGGAGCUCAACUCCGGAACUGCCAUUGAAACUGUUUAGCUUGAGGAUGAGAGUGGUGAGUGGAAUUCCCAGUGUAGAGGUGAAAUUCGUAGAUAUUGGGAAGAACACCGGUGGCGAAGGCGGCUCACUGGCUCAUUACUGACGCUCAGGCGCGAUAGCGUGGGGAUCAAACAGG